UUGCCUCAGUAACGGCGAGUGAAGCGGCAACAGCUCAAAUUUGAAAUCUGGCCCAAGCCCGAGUUGUAAUUUGCAGAGGAUGUUUCGGGUGAAGCCACGGUCCAAGUCCCUUGGAACAGGACGUCAUAGAGGGUGAGAACCCCGUACCUGGCCGUCGGUGCCCCCCGCUGUGAAACUCCUUCGACGAGUCGAGUUGUUUGGGAAUGCAGCUCUAAAUUGGUGGUAAAUUCCAUCUAAAGCUAAAUACCGGCCAGAGACCGAUAGCGCACAAGUAGAGUGAUCGAAAGAUGAAAAGCACUUUGAAAAGAGAGUUAAAAAGUACGUGAAAUUGUUGAAAGGGAAGCGCUUGCGGCCAGACUUGCCCGCGGUUGCUCAGCCCGCCUUUUGGCGGGUGCACUCUUCCGCGGUCAGGCCAGCAUCGGUUUGGGCGGUCGGAUAAAGGCGCUGGGAACGUGGCCUCCCCUCGGGGAGGUGUUAUAGCCCGGCGCGCAAUGCGACCAGCCCGGACCGAGGUUCGCGCUUUGCUAGGAUGCUGGCGUAAUGGCCGUAAGCGGCCCG
rnacentral:rRNA from 1 species